UACAGAGGUCUCAAGCGUUGUUCGGAUUCAUUGGGCGUAAAGGGUGCGUAGGCGGCGCGGUAAGUCGGGUGUGAAAUUUCGAGGCUCAACUUCGAAACUGCAUUCGAUACUGCCGUGCUUGAGGACUGGAGAGGAGACUGGAAUUUACGGUGUAGCGGUGAAAUGCGUAGAUAUUCGCAAGAACACCAGUGGCGAAGGCGGCUCACUGGCCCGGUACUGACGCUGAGGCACGAAAGCGUGGGGAGCAAACAGG
rnacentral:rRNA from 1 species